rnacentral:hammerhead_ribozyme from 1 species
AUCCAGCUGACGAGUCCCAAAUAGAACGAAGGGGCGGGUGUCCUUGAU